rnacentral:rRNA from 1 species
AGCAGCCGCGGUAAUUCCAGCUCCAAUAGCGUAUAUUAAAGUUGUUGCAGUUAAAAAGCUCGUAGUUGAAUUUCGGGGUUCUACCGUUGGUCAGGCUAACAAGUCUGUACUGGUGUGUAGAAUUUCUACCUUCUGGGGAACCAUCAUGUUAUUAAUUUAGCGUGGUGGGAAACCAGGACCUUUACCUUGAAAAAAUUAGAGUGUUCAAAGCAGGCUUACGUCUGAAUACAUUAGCAUGGAAUAAUAAAAUAGGACGGUGGUCCUGUUUUGUUGGUUUCUGAAUCACCGUAAUGAUUAAUAGGGAUAGUUGGGGGCAUUAGUAUUCAAUUGUCAGAGGUGAAAUUCUUGGAUUUAUUGAAGACUAACUUCUGCGAAAGCAUUUGCCAAGGAUGUUUUCAUUAAUCAAGAACGAAAGUUAGGGGAUCGAAGACGAUCAGAUACCGUCGUAGUCUUAACCAUAAACUAUGCCGACUAGGGAUCGGACGAUGUUAACUUUAUUGACUCGUUCGGCGCCUUACGG